AGGGAUUUAGCUCAGUGGUUUGAGCGCCUGCCUCACAAGCACAAGGUCCCAAGUUCAAUCCCUG
rnacentral:tRNA from 1 species